UCAAAGGAAGCGUUUUGAAGCUUUUUUUGGGGGGGGGGGGGUUAAUGAUGGCAAAAGUGCGGGCUAAACCAUAAUCCUGCUGUAGUUUGCUAAAAUCACCGUAAUAUAAACUAAUUCCUAUCUAAAGAGCGUGUUAUGCGUGCGCCAUGGAAUAUAUCUGGAUUUUGCUACUCCAGGUAUUGCCAAAAGUCCUAGCCCGGAAGAGGCUUCUCUCCUCUGGGCACCGUUUGGCGCUUGUUUUCCGUCAACACCGAGCAGCGGGCGUGGAAAAAUUCCACCACAACUAUUAAUCAUUCGGGGCGGACAUAGACAGCAUCCCACUCCCACACCAGCCUUUGUCUUCUCAAACUACAACUUGAGCGGUAAACUUUUAAAGACAGGAACAGAAGCAGACCAGCUCUUAUUAAUUCACCUUCAACGCUUUUAAAACUGAAGAAAAGAGGAGGAACAUUAAUGAUCAGGAUUAAAGAUUACGUUUUACGCGCAGAUGUGGACGUGUCACCAGGAUUAUAUGGCUCGACAUGACCGUGCGCUGGAACCUAAUCCCACGUUGCCUCUCGCCACCGCACCUGAACUUUUCCCUGACCCGGGCAAAGACAUAGAGAGUCGAGUGGGAAGCUAUUUGGGGGUUCAAAAAAGGGUCUCCCCUUGAUAGAAAGCAAAGGCCCUGAGCUGGUAGCUUACUUUUUUCACUUUUUGUUGCACUUUUUCCAGUCUUGCCCUUUGCUCAAAAGUAGUAGCUGAUUGAUGAUGUUUUAAAUCUCAACAGUUUUAGCAUAAAACAAAUGUUUCAGAGUUAUCUACACAAAUCAAAUCCUUAUCACUGUCAGCGAAGAGGAGUUGGAGGCGCAGACCUCUGGAUGUUGGCCAGACGGCCGUCCAUAUCUUCCCACAAUGUUGACAUUCGGAGCUCUUAACAGCCAGGCUUGGGUUACCGAUACACUCAGCCGAAGAUAACGCUUUCUGCGAGGUUUACACCGACCAACAUCAAGGCUAAUGCGAAACUCAACGCCUUAAGCUGACUUGGAGCCAUCUCUCAUGGAUGCAGACAGGCAAGGACAGCGUAAUUGUUUGCGUAAGGUGGUUGUAAUAAAGCCAUUUGAAUUUUCA